UUUAUCGGAGAGUUUGAUCCUGGCUCAGGACGAACGCUGGCGGCGUGCCUAAUACAUGCAAGUCGAGCGGACAGAUGGGAGCUUGCUCCCUGAUGUUAGCGGCGGA
rnacentral:rRNA from 1 species